rnacentral:rRNA from 1 species
GUGAGUAAUGUCUGGGAAACUGCCUGAUGGAGGGGGAUAACUACAGGAAACGGUAGCUAAUACCGCAUAACGUCGCAAGACCAAAGAGGGGGACCUUCGGGCCUCUUGCCAUCAGAUGUGCCCAGAUGGGAUUAGCUAGUAGGUGGGGUAACGGCUCACCUAGGCGACGAUCCCUAGCUGGUCUGAGAGGAUGACCAGCCACACUGGAACUGAGACACGGUCCAGACUCCUACGGGAGGCAGCAGUGGGGAAUAUUGCACAAUGGGCGCAAGCCUGAUGCAGCCAUGCCGCGUGUAUGAAGAAGGCCUUCGGGUUGUAAAGUACUUUCAGCGGGGAGGAAGGUGUUGUGGUUAAUAACCGCAGCAAUUGACGUUACCCGCAGAAGAAGCACCGGCUAACUCCGUGCCAGCAGCCGCGGUAAUACGGAGGGUGCAAGCGUUAAUCGGAAUUACUGGGCGUAAAGCGCACGCAGGCGGUCUGUCAAGUCGGAUGUGAAAUCCCCGGGCUCAACCUGGGAACUGCAUUCGAAACUGGCAGGCUAGAGUCUUGUAGAGGGGGGUAGAAUUCCAGGUGUAGCGGUGAAAUGCGUAGAGAUCUGGAGGAAUACCGGUGGCGAAGGCGGCCCCCUGGACAAAGACUGACGCUCAGGUGCGAGAGCGUGGGGGAGCAAACAGGAUUAGAUACCCUGGUAGUCCACGCCGUAAACGAUGUCG